UUAGAGGGUGGUCGGCCGCACUGGGACUGAGACACUGCCCAGACUCCUACGGGAGGCUGCAGUCGAGAAUCUUCCGCAAUGGGCGCAAGCCUGACGGAGCGACGCCGCGUGGAGGACGAAGGCCUUCGGGUUGUAAACUCCUGUCACGAGUUAAGAACGGCAUGUGGCGAACAGCCGUAUGCUUUGACGUAAGCUCGAGAGGAAGCACUGGCUAACUCUGUGCCAGCAGCCGCGGUAGUACAGAGAGUGCAAACGUUGUUCGGAAUCACUGGGCUUAAAGCGCACGUAGGCGGCAUCGCAAGUGUGGGGUGAAAUCCCACGGCUUACCCGUGGAACUGCCUGGCAGACUGCGGUGCUAGAGUGUGGUAGGGGAGAGCGGAACUCCUGGUGGAGCGGUGAAAUGCGUAGAUAUCAGGAGGAACACCGGUGGCGAAGGCGGCUCUCUGGUCCACAACUGACGCUGAGGUGCGAAAGCUAGGGGAGCAAACGGGAUUAGAUACCCCGGUAGUCCUAGCCGUAAACGAUGGGCACUAGCUUGGGGUCUCCCUGUGGGAUCCCAGGUGAAGCAAAAGUGAUAAGUGCCCCGCCUGGGGGAGUAUGGUCGCAAGGCUGGAACUCAAAGGAAUUGACGGGGGCUCACACAAGCGGUGGAGCAUGUGGUUUAAUUCGAAGCAACGCGAAGAACCUUACCCAGGCUUGACAUGCAGGGGCU
rnacentral:rRNA from 1 species